rnacentral:lncRNA from 1 species
UGUUUCCUUCCCCAAUAAACUAAUAGUAUCGCUAAUACCUCCUCCAGGCAGAUUUCCACAUAAGCCAUAUCGAAGUAAAGACUGUAUUUUUUUCAAAGGCAUCUGAUGCUCCAUGGCAAUUUCUUUUAAACUAAUCUGUAUCUCAUGAGUAUUCCAUUCGAUGGUUUCGAACUUGUUUAAAAUUGUUGUUAAAAUUUUUGGAAGCUCUUCUACCGUGAUGAGGGAGGAAACUAAACUUCUAAUUUGUUGAAGGUCAGAUGCCUCAUAAAAAUAGAACACUAUCUUCUCAAACUCCUUAAUCGUGUGCACUUUAUUUUUUAAAAGUAGCAAGAGUUUUUUAGUGUAACUUUUGUCAUGACUUCUAGAAGAAUGAGAAAACUUUUGGAUCAACCUCGGCUGAACCAGUUCGAUAAGCUCAUCGAGUCUGUUAACAUCUGAUAUCGCUCUCCUCAGGUAAUUUUUGUUUAAAAAGUAAAGCUUUUCAAAGGCAACAAUUGAGGAGCUCUUUGUUAGUUUAUCGAUCGAAAACAGAUCGAUAAGUUCUUUCAUCGGGAGAAAAUCACUUUUCUGACGCGAAGACCAGCCCAUUAAGGCAAUAAAAUUAAGAAUUGCUUCAGGAAGAAACCCUUCUUGAAGAAGACUAGAUACAUGUGCAUCAUUUUGUCGCUUACUGAGCUUUGACCCGUCAGGGUUGACUAAAAGUGGAAGAUGAGCAAAUUUGGGAGGUUUCCAUCCAAAUGCUUCAUAAAGUUGUAUAUGCUUAAUCGUAGAUGGUACCCAUUCCUCUCCUCUAAUAACGUGAGUGAUAUGCAUUAAAUGAUCGUCAACGACAUUGGCAAAAUGGUAUGUGGGAAAUCCAUCAGAUUUUAAAAUUACAAAAUUAUUAGAUUCCUCUAUUUCUCUGGAAUCUGAUUUUAUUGCAAUUUUUCCAUACACCAAAUCAGUGAAUGGUGAAGGUUCCUUCAUUCGGAAUCGAACAACGUAAGGGAAUUUUUUAGAUUUAUAAAGCUUUCUUUGAGCAUCAGUCAAGUCAUCAAUUGAUAUUUCAUGAUAUUUUGUAGAUGAAUCAAUUUUGGUAGUAGCGAUAGGGACCGAAUAAGAUACAUAGGCUCUCCCAGUUUCUAUUAAGUGCUGAGCAUACUUUUGGUAAAUUUGUAAACGGCUCGACUGUUCAUAAGGACCAUAGGGACCACCGACGAUUGGUCCUUCAUCCCAUUGAAGAUUGAACUGCUUUAGUACUUUAUAAAUCUCCAAGUCUGAACCCGUUACUUUUCGCUUUUGAUCAGUGUCUUCUAGGCGCAAAAUAAAUUUCCCGUUCGAUUUCUUGGCCCACAAGUAAUUAAAUAAAGCUGUUCUUAGAGAUCCAAGAUGCAAGAACCCUGUAGGAGAAGGAGCGAAUCUAGUCCGGACUACAGCAGUGGAAUUACAUCUUUUCAGUGAAUAAAAUGAGAUCUUGGAAACUAUAUAUCUUGAACAAAUUAGUUUCGCACAAGAGGUAUAAGAGAGCAUCCAAAAAAAUUACUAUAAACAGAAUUAUUCAGUAUUAUUUUCCAGAAUUGGAUAUAAGGUUGCAAAAUUUUCACUAGCGAAACUCAGUUGUUAACUUGUUAACAUUGAGUGAGAAGUGAUUGUAUUUAUAAUAAAAAUUGUUUUUUAUGAAAAGUAGACA